rnacentral:lncRNA from 1 species
GGCCCAUCACACCCCCAGACCUCGGCUGCCGUCCUGCUGCCUGGCCCUGCCAGACCCCUAGACCGGGGCCCCAAGCGACCCUGUGGCUCGGCUCCUGGGGUCUUCAGGCCCCCAGACUCCCAGAUCCGGGCCCACUCUCCCAUGAGACCCCAGGCCCAGGACCAGCAGGCCCCAGGCCCAGCAGAGCCCCCGGCCCCGGCCUGCGACCCACCGCCCUCGCUUCCAGCCACGGAUUGCUUGCUCCAACCUGCCCCUCCUGCGGCCCGCCUGGCCCCGCCUGGUUUGGCUUUGAGCCCCUUCUUGCCUGAGGACACAGCAGUAAGGCAGGCAGAGCGUGGCUGCAGCGGCUCAUGGGCCUCGGGGCCUGGGCUGCCACCUGCCUCUGCCCGCCCCCUGGACGUUGGUGGCGGGAGGUCAGCGGCGUCUGCUGGAGGAGCCCCCGGGAACGCGGCCACGGGAACGCGGCCCUGACUUCCCAGGAGCAGCCUGCAGCCCUGAGGGGCGAGCGCCUUCCGCGGGGUCAGCGUGCUCUGCAAAGGGCCCUCUCCCUGCCCUUCCCGCUGCUUGUGGGCUCAGCGGCCUGCAGGGCCCCGUGAAGCCUCUGGCUGCCGCCAUGCACUGCUGCUGAGGACCCCUCUUGGGGCAGCUGGUCACGGCGGGCACCUGAGGGACGGCGGUGCAAGGAGAGCCCUGCCCCCCGGGCCAGGCAGCCACCUCGGGGCGCUCCUGCUUGAGACGGAGCCCCGUUGCUCAGCCAGCCCUGCUGGGCACGGCAGCCGAGAGCCCGGCGCAGAGCUCCAGUGCCAGCAGGCCCCAGGCCGCCACGGGCACAGCAGAGCGUGCCGCGCCUGCGCAGGUCCAGCCGGGCCGCCACGAGCAAGGUCCACAGCGCCCCUCCCCGCCUGCACGCUCGGCACGCGCGCUCGGUGUGCGGUGAGGAAGCGGCUGUCUCCGGGUGUGCUGUUCUUGGGGUGCGUGCGCCUGUCCCCGCCGUGCUCACGGGUCUCGGGAAGCGCCGCCGUCCCAGCACCCCAGGUUCGGCGAGGGGGGCUGCGUCACGGGCCGGGGGCACCCUCGCAGCCGGGCCUGGUACCCGCAGCUCCGAUAGCGCAGGAAGCCCCGGCAUGGGGUGGACCGGCUGCCCGCU